CGUCGAUCAGUAAUGUCUUUUUGU
rnacentral:siRNA from 1 species